GACCCGCUAGCUCAAUUGGCAGAGCAAUUGACUCUUAAUCAAUAGGUUCUGGGUUCAAGUCCCAGGCGGGUCACCA
rnacentral:tRNA from 1 species